ACCCCAUGAUAUAAGCCGGCAGGAAAAAGAUAAUAACAUUUUCCUGUGACUAUGAUUGGGAACAAAAAUGUUUAUCCGAUGUGUGUAUGGGGCAAUAUUUACUAAAUUGAUUGCAACAAAGAAUGAUUCGGAGCACA